UACUUUGAGUCGGUACGAAUCAU
rnacentral:miRNA from 1 species